ACUGAGAAACCCGAAAGAUCGGAUGGGGAGAUUCAUCGUCAGCGAUCCAGGCGCGUGUGCGGUUCGUGAUGCCGCGGGACUUCGGUUCCGCGGUACACGUCCGUGUGGGUUUUUGCCUGGUGUCGUCGGCGUGCACUUCUCCCCUAGUAGGACGUCGCGACCCGUUGGGUGUCGGUCUACGGCCCGGAUGGUCGCCUGUCAUGCGUACGCAACGCCUCGCGGCGUUACGUGGCUGACAGACCACCGGUCGCCCGACCAGCUGCCCGGCGGUACUCGCACGGUAUCGAGCCGCAGUUUCGAACUGCGUCCGGCCCGCCGCAAGCGAGGCCAGUGUUCCCGGAUGCACGGACCUAGCGCCGUCGCCGGGCCUGGCCAGCUGUUGGCUGGCGGUGUCCUGGGACUGGCUCAAUAAGAAAAUACCGGUCGGCGACGCUACUGCUGUGG
rnacentral:rRNA from 1 species